UCCCCAUCUGGUCACAGAGCACCGUGUUGGCUGGGCAAGGAGAGACGUGUGACCACAGCUGACUGACUCGUUAACGAGUCAGUGGGGACAGGAGAGGAGGUAGAGCCACACUCAGCACCUCACCUGGGCCACAGCCCUCGGGGCUCACCUGGCAGGCGGCAGAGGCGGCAGAGGCGGCCGGGCGUCUUUGGCACAAGGUGCUUCUCCUGGGGAUGCAGGGGAAUGUGGGAGGAUGGGACUCGCUACUGCAGAGCCAGGGCCUGUGACAUCUGCUGUGGCCACGAUUCCAAGUCAUGGUGCACUGAGCCGUGAGCCCCACAGCUGGCCUGGCUCAGUGACUGCCCAGGGGACAGGGUGAGCUGGACACAUCCCUGUCGUCACGUCAAGAGAAGAGGAUGUCUUCACAGUGUUUCCGAAGACAAGAAGGGCUCUUUGGAGCUUUGAUUUCUUGGAAAAUACCACACACAGCAAAGAUUGGCACACUGUUGCAGAGUUUGCACAUAUCACACAAUGACGGGAAAUGUCCUGGCCUGGGACAUUCUCACUCAGUGGACCCUGAAGCUUGCAGAGAAAGGCGGCAGAAGGGAGCGCAGGCUUCUCUUCCAAAGACAGACACUCAGAUCUGUCGCGUUCCCGGUAACUAAAACACUCAGGGUCACUCCAGGGAACCUGGCUACACGAAAUAACCACACAGAGACAGAGAGACCUUUUUCUUUGGGGGCCCUGUGAUGGCUCCUCUGACCUUAGGGGUCCACAGAAAGACAGAGCAAGCGCAGGCUGAACCCUUUUUUGAGGAGAAGCCAUUCCAAUGAGGCCAGGGGUCAGGGUUCAGGGGGCAGAGUCUAGCUUCCUGAUGUCCACUGUCAGCAGGUUGACUGACGUCUAGGAAGGCCACACCCAAAGGCAGAGCAAGAGAAGGGGACACACAGAGGGCGUUUCCAUGGGACAUUCUAUCCCAAACAAGGGUUCAGCAAGGGGGUGAUAUCACAAAGGAACAGUGAGCGUAGCUUGACCCCUGGGGCUGCAGGAAGGUGCGCCUACGCAUGAAGACACA
rnacentral:lncRNA from 1 species